AUGGUUCAACAGGGUUCUCUAUUUAACGAGGUCAGGUUUCCCUGGAGAACUUUGGUCUCUGCCUGGUGAUAACACCAGGCCUCCGAGAAAGUCAAGCUGACCACGUGGUCCCGAGGAGCCCUCUGCACACCGCCAUUUCCCACACAGACGGCAUCCGGGGCAGAGACAGUGAACACGGUUUUGAUGAGCCACAGCACGUGGGAAGAUGGAGGGGAGAGCAUGACGGGACAGGAUGAGCGCAGCGUGGCUAACACAUGGGAAACGUCACCAGGAAACCUGAGACUGAUCAGGAUAGACCACCACUUCCUACCACGGGUACAGGGAGCCUGCUGUUUGGGCCAGUCCACUGAUAGCGCCAUCUGGAGGCUGUCCAGCUCUGUCCGGAUGGUGUGCGACGAUGUGGCAAAUCCCAAUGGCACUCAGGGUAUGGAAACUAAGGAAGGACACCACCUUAGCUGCUUUUCUCACCAUCGAGACAACACACUGAAAAAUAACCAUGGAAGGAUUGACUUCUUCUGACUUGCAGUUGGGCCUUCCAGUCUGCCAUGACAGGGAAGCCAUCACAUGGAGAACAGGAGACGGUUGGUUACAUUGUGUCUGCAGUCAGGAAUAAGAGUGUGAUGAAUGCAAGUGCCCGGCUUGCUUUCUGCAUUCUGCUAAGUCAGAGACACCAGAACAGGGAAUAGGGCUGGGCGCUUUUAAGGUGCAUCUUCCCGCUUCAAUUAAUUUAUAAACGUUUUUGCAGACAUACCCCAAGAUUUGUCUCCAGGUGGUCCUAUCUCGUAUCAAACUGUCAACCAAUAUGAACCAUGACAGACACCAAAGGGAGCCGUGGUCAAGCCUGGAGGAUAACUCAACAUAACCACGUGCAUUCUGGAGAUGGGCCAAGUCAUCAGUGCUGGGAAAGUGGAAGCUCCAUGUGUUGAGUGGCCCCUGGCAUGCCUUUUGGCCAUGGCAGUGAUGUCGCAUGUGACUUUGGGGUGUUAAAUAGCACAUGGCUGCACUGGGGACUGUCAGAAUAACUGUAUUGAAAGAUUGGGUGGGUCCAUCAAAAAGAGAAGUAAGUUCUCCAGGACUGGACACAAGGCAAGUCAGAGAGAACAAGGAAGUUGCACAGAGGGUUGGCCCGUCCCUCCUAACACCCACUCUUGCCUUGGUAUUUCCCCAUCCGCUCAUCCCCAUCAUCUUCUGUGGGGCUGCUGGCUUGACUCAUUUGUGUAUGUGGAAAUGGACGGCGUGCAGCUCCUCCAAGGGCUGCCUGGAAGGAUGGCAGCUCGGAGAAAUCCUCCGGGGACACGUAUCUGGGGAGGUCAUCUGAUCAUCCUCUUGCAGGAGAAACAAAGUGCCUCGAGCUAAGGUUAUAUGUGUGAGGUGUUUGUAGCAAAUCUUAUUGUCAGUGUAAUGCUCUGAAAACAGAACCUUAUAGAAAGUAGACGACGAAGCAGUCUUGGGAAAAACCCCUGGAUGUGAGCAGAGAGUGUAAAGAUCUGUG